rnacentral:rRNA from 1 species
UACAGAGGGUGCAAGCGUUAAUCGGAAUUACUGGGCGUAAAGCGUGCGUAGACGGUUAUUUAAGUCAGGUGUGAAAGCCCCGGGCUCAACCUGGGAAUUGCAUUUGAGACUGAAUAGCUAGGGUGCGGAAGAGGGAAGCGGAAUUUCCGGUGUAGCGGUGAAAUGCGUAGAUAUCGUUUGGAACGCCAAAGGUGAAAACAGACAGCUGGGAGUGUGCUGACGCUGAGACACGAAAGCCAGGGGAGCGAACGGG